UGUAAUUUCAAAUGGCUUUAAAUAAACGUGCGAAGCUGAACGAUCCAUUGUGAACGUAUUACGAAGCAACUUUGAACGUAACAAUUUUCGAGAAAUUUCACAGUUUUGGGUAAUUAUAUCCACGGUUAAAUUCGUGAUCUACAAUUGUAACAACGGACAAGUUUUGUAACUAAUUCUUGAAAAAAUUCUGUGAAUCAUAAUUUGAGACGAUGUACCAGAAUAUAUGUAGAUGAAUAUUUGAUUCGUGACUAUUCUGCCAUACACAAAAAUGGCGCAGCGGGAGAUUUAAAAAUCGAAGGAGCUUCAUUACAUUGCUUGAUUAGAAAAUAUCGAAGCAGGGAAAAUAAGGUUGAAUUACAACGACACCAUGAACGCGAAUCCCGACCUUUCUCAAUCCCUAAACGUGAUCCAAAAAGCUGACGCUAUUUUCGUGCAACCUGGAAGCAAGGAAUUCGAAUGCCCAGAUUGCCUCGGUCACCAAGAUCCCUCACACUGCUCACUCUCGAAUUAAAACGUGUUUGUCUACCAAACAUUGUAAUCGCUUUCGACGAUUCUAUAUUAUAAGCUAAUGUCAAAAAUCUGAAUGGAUACUAUAUAACAUGAAGUUACAACUAUUAAAAAAAAGAAAAUAAAACUUCACUCCUUGAAUAAAAAUUAUUACCUCCUUCUUUUUAAACUGGCAACUUAAGACCCCAGAAAAUAUUCUUCUUAAGUUAGUUUGGGACAGAACCACAUUAUGUACACACUAAAAUAAUGUUUUAAAUUCCAAGCAACUUAAAUUUGAAGCAAAGAUUUAUCUUCGGUUUUCGAGAAUCAAAUAUUAAUUAAAACUUGUGGAACCUAAUCAUGGUCUCCCAAAUAAAAAUCCUUACAGAUUGGAAUACACAUAAGUUUCUCUUACAAUCGCUAACAGUCUAUGAGCCCGGGUAACAUUUUACAGAAGCCACCGAGGUGGUCUUGCAAACAAUCUGCCUUCAAGUUCCAGAAAAGCUGAACAUCAAUCUCUCAAGACAAAAUUCUAAAAACAAUCAGUUGAGACUUUCAACAUUCCCAACCGCCUGACUCCACAACUCCGAGAUUCUGGGUUAAACCUCCCAAAGCUUCAAUCUUUCAAAUAAAAUCCUUAUAGAACAAAAACUCACAUAACUACAAGUCAAUCUUACAAUCCUACAUUCUAUGAUCCAAACGUCUCACAGUACAUCAUCUUGCAAAGAUCACUUGCAAGACCUAAACUUCAGAAAAGGAAAUUAAACACUGAUUUAACACUCCAUGAUCUAACUAUACCUAAAAUUACUCAAUAACCUAGAACGACUAGAUAACCUAAACUGACUAGAUAACCUAGAAUAAAUUAUCAGCUAGAU